UACGGGGGGGGCAAGCGUUGUUCGGAAUCACUGGGCGUAAAGCGCACGUAGGCGGCUGUGUCAGUCAGGGGUGAAAUCCCGGAGCUCAACUUCGGAACUGCCUUUGAUACAGCACGUCUUGAGUCCGAUAGAGGUGGGUGGAAUUCCUAGUGUAGAGGUGAAAUUCGUAGAUAUUAGGAAGAACACCGGUGGCGAAGGCGGCCCACUGGAUCGGUACUGACGCUGAGGUGCGAAAGCGUGGGGAGCAAACAGG
rnacentral:rRNA from 1 species